GCACAUGUAGAAAAAUGAUGGCUGGACUGGAUGACCUUUUCCAACCUUAACGAUUCUACAAUUCUGUGGUUGAGAUAUUUUUGCCUUUCUCAAAGGUGUGGUGGUUUUGGAGCCUGCAGAGGUGCAUCUCACUGACUGCAGCUCACAGAAGGGAUAUGAAGUUCUUGGGAACCCCAUUCUCAUGAUGCAAGCCAAGCUCUGUUGCUCAGAAGAGACACAGGUGCUGCAUCAAGCUGACACAGCCCUGGCUGGAUGUACAUUUCCAGAUUAGCCAGAUGUGAUAUGGAGAUACCGGUGACGUGGAGAAGUCGUGCUGUUGGCAGCGUGAGAUGGCAGGAGGAGAACUGUGGGCUAGGACAAGGAACGGAGUUGGAGCACUCAGUCCUGCAUCUCCUGUAUCCACCCACACUCUCAGGCAGAAGGCACAAAGAGGAGCUGUUCAGAAGAAGAACAAAACAAAGCCAACCGAGGUACAGAUUUUUUAAUAUACUUAUCCCACCUUGCCUCCUUAAUCCUUCAUAGUUUCAGUACAAUUGGCUCUUUCUCAGUAUUGUACAUCUUUUGCACAGUUAACUUAGACGUUGAACAAAAGGAGCUGUAAAGUCUGCCUUUGGCUGGUGGAGAUGGGCUCUGAGCCUCUACUGAUGCAGACUUUCAUUGAGAGCUGCUCGGAAGACCUCAUUAUGAACACUCCACCUUAAAUCCUGCUCUUCUCUGCUUCCCUCUUGCCCUGCUCACAGGGCUCUCCAGGGCGUCAAUAGGAAAUGUGAAUCAUUGAAUCGCUAAGGUUGGAAAAGACCUCUAAGGUCCUCUAGUCCAAUCGUCCACCUACCACCAUGACUACCCAUGAAGCCAUGUCUCUCACUGCCACAUCUCCAUGGUUUCUAAACACCUCCAGGGAUGGUGACUUCACCCCCGCCCUGAGCAGCCUGUGCCAAUGCCUCACCACUCUUUCAGAGAAGCUUUUCCUAAUGUCCAACCUGACAGCAGGGAUGCCAGGGUGCUUCAUUUUCCCCAUCACAAUGAGAGUGACGUGACCGCACUCCUCCUGCUCUGCCUGUGUGCCUUCGCCGUGCCAGAGGUUCUUAAUGAUCCCAAAUCAGCUUGUUUGACAGUAUAUUAAUUGGGCAAUUCCUCUGAGAUGUUCAAGUAUGCAACGUUUGUGAAUGCUUGUCAAUUAACUUUUUCCUGUCAAGGACUAAUGACUCUAAAUAACACCUUGAGCACUGCACUGCAUCUUUCCCGUGCUGGGUCAGGCUCUAUUGCUGCAAAUACACCUGAGAAGAUUAAGUCUGCAAUGCUAAGCGUCAGAGCUAUUAAUAUUUAUACAAUGGGCAGAAUUCAUAUCAAAUCUGUCAGGCAGAAUCUGUCACCAUGGUGUUUCUGAAAGGUUACCAGCCUCGAGAUGUCUGUUUCUCAUUUAUAAACUGGUUUUAAGAUGAAUCACUUUACAGUUGGAGUCUUAGUCCACAGGUAAGCUGCCUGAUUCAUCAUUGAAAUCGUUUCUGGUGUACACAUGCUACGUGAGGAGGGAAAAACAGUGUGUAAGAAAAUCAUCCAGGAGAUGCAUUUUGGAGAGCAGACUCCCUCAGAGGUUCCUAAGCUGUUUUCGCUCCAGAAGCAGGGUGAGAAAGUGUUCAGUGUCCAGAGGGCUCUGUGAUGCCCAGGCACCACGUUUGCUCUGCCAGCAGUGGGUAGGAGGAGCACGUACAUAAGCCAUGUCACUACUGCUGCUGCAAACAUCAGGCUUGCUCUCUCAUUUACUCUCUUCUGUUUGAGUGGAAAAUGAAGAUAACGUUGAUAAAAGCAAGCCUGGCAUUAGCACUGAUACCUUACGUAAGUGCUACCUCUCUUUUGUAAUCUGUUUGCUCUGUUACAUAAAUUUGUUUUGCUCCUUUAUUCCCACUGACCAACAAAAAAUGAUGCUUUUCCUUCAAAUGGGAAAUUAGUUGUAUAGUAAAAAUAUUUACUGAGGCAUAGAGGUGCUGAUCCAUUUCCUGUUUGAGUCAAUAGAUAGCCUGUUAUUGAUUUCAGUGUUUUUUUGAGUCAGGCUCCAUGUUUUGUCUAUUUUUCGGUCGGUGAAUUUGCUGCUUAUGGGUGCUUUAUAAGGGAUAAUGGUCACCACGUCUGCGUCUUCUUGAGAGGAAUAGGAGCAUAACACAGAGUAAAAGUGAUCAUUUCAUAAGCUGAUAAUGUGUCAUUUUGAUGGGAUGAGAGGGAAUGGCCUCAGGUUGCACCAGGGGAGGUUCAGGUUGGAUGUUAGGGAAAAUUUCUUUGCCAAAGGAGUGGUGAUGCAGUGGCACAGCUGCCCAGGGAGGUGGUGCGGUCACUGUUCCUGGAGGUGUUCAAGCAACGUGUAGAUGUGGCACUGAGAGACAUGGUGCAGUGAGCAAUGUUGGUGGUGGGUGAACGAUCAGACUGGAUGAUCUUAGAGGUCUUUUCCAACCUGCAUGAAUCUAUGAUUAGAAUACAAAGCUGUGGGCUAUGUUUGGUAGGUAACAUCACUUUAUCUUGAAGGUCUACCUGUAUGAUGGCUGAGCGUCUCUUGGCAUUUUUCAUCCGUCGUGUAAUAGCUGCCAAUUUCUUUAAAACCUGAUGCAACGUGACAUUUAUGUCACAUCUGAUCUGCUUACAUUGUUUUAUGUCGUGUCAACUGAUGCGAUGUAACCAGACAUAGCCUAAUAGCCAGUGAUGUGCAAAACAGGCAACUUUUUUUCUUGUUGUGCUUGGACCAGGGUAAGACAUCACAAAAGGCAACAUAAUCUUUGACUGCAUGGAUGUGACAUUGUCACGUUAUCGGGGAAGAGUGACUGCAGGACUAUGUGUGACCCCAUCAUAGUACCCAUCUGAACAGGCAGCUCAGCUUCAUCCUCAGAAAUGACAACGAAGCACGUGAAAUCUCCUUAAUGGCGUUGGUGAUUCCCUGUUCUCAGGGGUCAGCUUCAGUUGUUACCAAGGUGUUGUGGACGAGUUCAGCGAAUGCUUUAUAGUUGGCUGUCUGCCUGAGUGAACGAGUGUGGAAAAAGGGAAAGUGUGCUAAGAGACCACAUUGCUGAGCAAUGGAGCUGCAGCAGAAAUCUGCAGAGAGACAGAGGCAGGAGGUCCUGCUGGUGUUUCUGACCCCAGCAAGAGUCAUGCAUGCUUGGGCUCCUUUGAGCACAGUGCAAUUUGGAGGUGUUGUGCUUAAGUUUCUCUGUGUGCAAUCCACAUCCAUGUGUUUGGGGGGACAAAGUGCACCCCACCUGUUGGGUGGCAGCGCUGUGUGUGGGCAUGUCAUGGCAUUAGGAGCCCUCACUAGGUGAGAAUGCAAAGGUGAUGUGUUCUGUUCAGUUGCUUUUUCAAAGUUGACUCACAGUGUGUCUGAAUGCCCAAACUCACAAGCACAGUAUUUAUUGUAUCCAGUUGCAUUUCUGUUGGGCUUUUCCUCCUUUACGUGAUGGGUUCCGAGCAGCCAGCUGACACAUGUUACCUGAAUGGUGACAAACACUGUAAAUAUUCCACUUUCUGCAAGAUGAAAUACAGUUGGUGGAAAAAAAAUCUUUAAGCAGGCUCUAUAGGUGCAGCGUUGAGUGAACUAUUUAUGGCUGUAUGAUAAAUAAAGCUAGGAAAGAUAUUUGUCAGAAAGCAGUGGGCCAGCUAAGUUAUAUUUGGUUUGAAAAGGCACUUAGGAACACUCAAAGAAAAUCAGCAUAGGUGAGGAAGGAGGAGUGGCUGCUGCUUACCCAAGUUAACUCUCAGCCUGGCUGCAGGCAAAACUCACUGCUAAAUGUGGAGGGGACCAGGACUAGAGAAGCUGCCAUCAGUUGCAGCAUCCAAAGCCAAGCCAGGAGACUGGCACAUCUGCUCCUUUGCUCAGCAUUGUUAUCCUAAAUUGAUUGCAUCGAAGCGCAUCUGCAGCGCUGUCACCAGCACUCUGCUGGACAGCUUCAUCUGCUGAGCAGCUGGCUUUCCUUCAUGAGACAUGAUAAUAUUUUAUUAGACCAGCAAAUGGUACUUGAUAAAACGAGUCUUAGCAGUGUUUUAAGAAAAUAAAAUAAGCUAAAAGCAUCAACCAUGCUGGGAAUUUCGUGCACAGGCGAUACAGGGCAGUGUGUCCACAUGGGGCUUGCCUCCCUUCUCUUGUGCCUCUGUGCAUCUUGGUCAGUACAUAGAUUUCCUACAGUUGAUGCCAUCCCCCUCCCAAAAGCUGCCAAAAGCAGAGGAGGGGCAAAUAUUUUCUUCUUUCUCCCCUGGUCUGAGCUGCACACACAUCUAUACACCCAAAGUCAGCAAGAGGGAAAUCAACUGUACUAGCAGUGCUGAUCCGAUUAGGCUGGCAGCAGAGCACAGACAAACACAAGCCCUUCCCACCAGCCAUUAUGAUGUCAGGAAAAUCUCUGUGACACUGCAAAGGUCCUUUGUAUUUCGGUUAGUUGCUUUCCCAGAACAAGCAAUGUUUCAUUUUAAUGUACUGCUCAUUACUUUUUUUUCUAUUAUUUUGAAAGUUAUAGGAGUUGUGAUAGCAUUUAAAUGGCAAGAGGUGGCUGAACUGCACCAGCAGCAACCUGCGAGCCCUGCUCAGCCCCUGGCAUUUUGGGAGGACCCUCAUUAUCCACACUGCUCAGCUCUUCCCAACAAGAUCACUUCUGUAGCUUCCUCCCAGGGACUUGUUUUCUUCCCUGGCGCUAUCUUGUGCUUUCUGUAACUCCAGCAACCCUCGUGUGCAGAUGCAGUUUGAUCCGGGCAAGGAUUGUAGUGCGCUAUGAAACAAAUCGGUUUGUUCUGAUUCCUCCUUACUGAGAAAAGGCUCACAGCUCCGAGGUGGCUGCUGAGCAGUAUGUGGGGCACAGCCAGCACAGGGCUUGGAAAUUACAAACAGCCAUCAGAUAAGUAUGCUCAGUAAACUGCUUUUAACUGCAUUUUGCUAACAGCGGCAAAAGAUUCCGACUACUGUGGAUUUCAGCUUUCUUGGCCAUUUGCAGACGUACAAAUAUCUCCCUCUGUGAUUUCUCCUUGCAGUACUGAUAGAUGCUAAAGCGGGUAAUGAAGCUAUAAACCUGCACAUCCACUUUGCCUUAUAUCUAUGGCUAGUUACUUAUGGGGACGAAGUCCACUCCUACAGAGAGUGGUACAGAGACACCAUUUCCCAACAAGAUAACGUAUGGUGAGGCAGACAAAAGCUUUGAAAGCUCCCAAAAAAGAGCAGCAAUUCGGUCAGGCCUCCCCACGUUCCUGUUCGCUGCUUCUUUAUGUAAUGUCUUUGAUAUGUGAACACUGGUAAGUGCUGGUUCUCCAGUUCCAUGUGUUACACACACAAGGGAGAAGAUCUAAACAGCACCUGCAGUGCCAAGAGAGCUUGCUGCUCAAUGGCUGUGCUCAAAAUAUUGUGUUAACCACAGAGAAUAAAUAGUGGAUAGCAGUUGCCCCUUCUGAUCGUUGUUGGAACAGUGCCUUUUCUGUGUUCAACACCCUGCCAAAAUAUUGCAAGGAAAAGAAUUAUGCUCUGCAGUCAUCCAUUUUCUGAGCUCCGAAGGCCUUGGCACAAUAAUUAAGUUAUUUCUGAUAAUUUUGGUCCGCAGCUCCUUUGCACACAGUGCAACAGCAAUGAAUCAUAGAAUCGCGAAGGCUGGAAAAGGCCACUAAGAUCACAGAGUCCAACUAUCAACCCCUCUACCCCAUGCCCAUAACCUCAGUGCCACAAAGGAGCGAUGGCAGAUCAAACAUGGGACUGAAUGCCAUAAAACCCCUGUGUAUUUGUAGGGAGAGCCCACUGCCAGAUCCUCCUCACCAGAAGGGUUUCUGGGAUCAGUGACAUCAUCAUUCCCAACCUCUUCUUUAAAUUUCAUCCUUGGGUCCAUCCACUGAGCCCUGGGAUUAAUCCAAGGGCUGAAUCCUUGAAUGCGUCACUGUUGAGGAUGGGGCUGGGGCCUCCCAAGACUCAGAGCAAUUAAAACUCUUCAGAUUUCACUUCAGACUCAGUGAUGUAUUUUUAUAUGCUGUAAGAUGCUGGGCAUAAUAGAUGAGAAAUGUUGGAGGGAGGUGAAAAGAAAGGAGCUCUUGGAAAAAUUCUUUAUUAAUGUUUUAGUGAGAGUUGAGUGAAAAGAGGCAUAUUCUGCAUGGAUUGAGAGGUGUCAAAGCCCAGUACCUGAGGCACUGUUUGAAAAGAAAGACCAAGGUGGUAAACACCCCCUGUGCUGCACCAGAAGCCUGAAGAGUGAGCUCAAACCAACCUCACAUUCCUGUUCUCUGCAAGUUGUGGCUCAUGGAUGUGUUGUUGAAGGGAGCUUCUGCAGCCUCUGCUAUCAGUGUGCAGCUCCAACGCUGGGCACAAUUAUGAGUCUAUCGUUUCAAAUUACCUUCUUCCAAGCACCCAUCUAUGAAACCAGAGCCACAUUUCAGACUCCUGAGCCUAUAAAUUCUUCCAUUGUCAAUGUUUGUUUUUAGAUUGAAGACAAGUGUAGUGUUUGGGGUAAUGAAAAAGAUAUAUCUCUGAAUCUGUAAGUCCCUUACGUUGCUUUGAAAUCCUGCUUGCAUGCAAUGCGUGCCUUCGAAAUGCUCGUGCUGCAUCUGUUCAUUGUAAUAAGUUGUGUAAAAAUAUUCCCCAUUAUUUUGCUUUGUGCUGAAGCUGGCAAUAUUAGCUAUUCCACUUGAAUGCUCUGGCUAGAAAACUGUGAAUUUCUUUUCUUCUGUGAUUUUCUCCUCUGUGUUUUUCAUCUCAUCACUGAGAUGGAAAUACUUUACCAGUUAAAUGGAGAAAAGAACAGUUAAGGCAGAUGCUGUUUCAUCAUCUGCUAACACAGAGGUCCUCAGCAUGCAGAAUGGUGGUUUACUGCAACAAAUUAAGUGUACAAACUCUUCAUGUGGAAGAAAUGAUUUCUGAAUUCCCUCUGAAACCCCAUUUCAUCUACAGCAAGAUGAGUUAAUGAAGAAAAUUACGAUUUCAUGUCUGUUAGUGCUGUAGAGAAACUUACUUUGUCUCUCAAAAGCAGUUUUCUAUUCUUUGUUGUUAUUUUAAACUCCUUCAGCCAUGAUUUGGAAACAGUGGCUGUGAUCGUUUCUGUAGCUGAAACUUUCUGUUGUCGUCCUCUUUGCUCAGGCAGAGCAAUGCCCCGUUAUUCAGGAAGCACCUUAAUCUCUACAGGGUAGAAUCAUAGAACCAUAGAAUAUCCCGAGCUGGAAGGGACCCAUGAGGAUCAUCGAGUCCAGCUCCUGGCCCCACACAGGACCAUCCAAAAUGGCAGUGGGUAAUGGGACCAUUGGUUCUUUAUCCAGGUUGGAGGCAAGAAGCAACAGGAUGAGAGGAAUGGCCUCAAGUGCCAGCAUAGGUUCAGGUUGGAUACUGGGGAAAACUUCUCAGGAAGAGUGAUGGUGUACUGGCACAGGGCUGCCCAGGGAGUGGUGGUGGGAUCACCAUCCCUGGAGGUGCUCCAGAACCAUGGAGAUGUGGCACUGAGGGACGUGGUGAUGGGCAUGGUGGGGUGGGCUGAGGUUGGACUUGGUGAUCUUGGAGGUCUUUUCCAGCCUUAAUGAUUCUAUGACAAACACAGCCUAUGAUUUGCUCAGUCCAUCCUGCAAUGUGUCAUGGCUUGAUGGGGUCUUCCGUUUCAGGGCGAGUCAUCCACAUCCAUCCCUUUCUGUGCAGCUCAGCACUUAGUCUUUUUGGCUCUUUGGCAAAGCACUGCUGCUGGGAUUUGGUGUGGGAGAGGCAGAGGGUGUCUUCCCUCGUAACGGUGAGGGUGCGUUUCUCUGGGGCUGUAAUGCUUACAGGAAGCGACGGCGCAGAGUUGGUUUGAUUUAUCCUUAAAGGCAGUAGGUACGUCUCAGUGCUGAGCUUUUGUGCUUUCAGCCACGGAUGCAGACAGGGAUUUUAUUGAAAGGAAGAAGAGAGCUGUCAUGAGAAAAUGUAGAUUUAGAUUCAUCUUAAAAAUAGAAAUUUAAUUUUAUUUCUAGAGUUGUGCCUUGGAAGUUUUCUUUUCAGGAGAGCAUUCUGUACUGCAUUUCUGCUAUAUCCUUUCUAGCUGGGAAACAAUUUGAUUGCUAAAUAGAACACUUCUAGGACUUUUCUUGACCACAACCACAGUUUGAUUUCCUCUCUAUAUUUCAGGCCUUUCUCAAGACCCAAAAUCAUCAUAAACCUUGUUAUGGUGACCCAGCAGUGCACCAAUGUAUGCCAGGAAUGGCUCAUUCCCUUUUCUUGGGCUCGUAAGGCUCAGAAAAAAUGCUUCAAUUCUGGUGCAGAUGAGGGAGAGAGAGUGUCUGCUCUCUUGGUGGUAAAACAAAGUCUUUGAAGAAUACAGCUAUGUCUGGAAAGAAUAGUAACAUUCAAGAAAAAAAGAAAGAAAGAAAAAGAAAUUUCACGAUGUAUUGUACUGUGAAACAGCUUCCUACUGUGUUUUAUGGGAACUUUUCUGAUUAUGUCAGACUUUUUUUAACCUACCUUUUUGCUUACAGGGUCUGAGUUAAUCUGUCAGUGCUCCUCUCCAACAGCAAGAGCACUUAGACAAUUAGUCCACUGCCAAGGGAGAUCUGGGGAUCGCUGUCGUCAGCUCCGAUGACAGUGCUAUAUUAAGGAUGCUUAAGGAAUACGAAAUCAAUGAGACAGUGGUUUGAAAUGACCCAAGGACUUUCCAGCCCAGUGAUUUAAUAUUGCAGUGAAUAAAAAAAUCUUAGUAAACAGUAGUGGUCUAGAACAGAAUCUGCCUGAAGGAAUUUUCCAAUAUUACUUUUAUUUGCUUGUCAUAAUACAUUUCAGCUGCGUUUUCCUUCUUCUGUUCCGUAUAUUAUAUAAAGGAUGAAGGAAAGUUUCCUAUUCGGUCUGAGUUUUUCACGAGCCUUUUCUCCUCACUAGUUAACCAGAAAGACAUUAAGAUACAAAUAUUUAAUUAACUGACGGAACAAUUUAAGCCAAGUCUGAAAGAGGUUCUUCCAGCCAUAGAUGGGCUGCUGGAGAAGCAACAAGGAGUGCAAACCCCUCACUUUGAGCCAUGUUUAAGUGUUUCUUUCUUCUUCUGUGCAGAAAGAAACCCUUUUGAU
ensembl:lncRNA